rnacentral:rRNA from 1 species
ACACUGUUCAUGGGUUACCGCGGCUGCUGGCACGGAGUUAGCCGGUGCUUCUUCUGUGAGUGAUGUCCUUCCUGCCGGCUAUUAACCCGCAGGCCUUCUUCCUCACUGAAAGUGCUUUACAACCCGAAGGCCUUCUUCACACACGCGGCAUGGCUGGAUCAGGGUUGCCCCCAUUGUCCAAUAUUCCCCACUGCUGCCUCCCGUAGGAGUCUGGGCCGUGUCUCAGUCCCAGUGUGGCUGAUCAUCCUCUCAGACCAGCUACGGAUCGUCGCCUUGGUGAGCCGUUACCUCACCAACCAGCUAAUCCGACAUAGGCUCAUCCGAUAGCGCGAGGCCCGAAGGUCCCCCGCUUUCCCCCGUAGGGCGUAUGCGGUAUUAGCCUGGGUUUCCCCAGGUUAUCCCCACUACCGGGCAGAUUCCUAUGCAUUACUCACCCGUCGCCGCUCGCCACCAGGGAGCAAGCUCCCCGUGCUGCCGCUCGACUUGCAUGUGUUAGGCCUGCCGCCAGCGUUCAAU